CAAUAGCGUAUAUUUAAGUUGCUGCAGUUAAAAAGCUCGUAGUUGGAUUUCGGGUGGGAAUGGCCGGUCCGCCGUUUCGGUGUGCACUUGCUACGCCCACCUUGCUGCCGGGGACGUGCUCUUGAGUUCACGCUCGGGACACGGAGUCGGCGAGGUUACUUUGAGUAAAUUAGAGUGUUCAAAGCAGGCCUACGCUCUGAAUACAUUAGCAUGGAAUAACACGAUAGGACUCUGGCCUAUCUUGUUGGUCUGUAGGACCGGAGUAAUGAUUAAGAGGGACAGUCGGGGGCAUUCGUAUUUCAUUGUCAGAGGUGAAAUUCUUGGAUUUCUGGAAGACGAACUACUGCGAAAGCAUUUACCAAGGAUGUUUUCAUUAA
rnacentral:rRNA from 1 species